AGUGAACGCUGGCGGUAGGCCUAACACAUGCAAGUCGAACGGCAGCACAGGAGAGCUUGCUCUCUAGGUGGCGAGUGGCGGACGGGUGAGGAAUACAUCGGAAUCUGCCCAGUCGUGGGGGAUAACGUAGGGAAACUUACGCUAAUACCGCAUACGACCUUCGGGUGAAAGAGGGGGAUCGCAAGACCUCCCGCGUUUGGAUGAGCCGAUGUCGGAUUAGCUAGUUAGCGGGGUAAUGGCCCACCAAGGCGACGAUCCGUAGCUGGUCUGAGAGGAUGAUCAGCCACACUGGAACUGAGACACGGUCCAGACUCCUACGGGAGGCAGCAGUGGGGAAUAUUGGACAAUGGGCGCAAGCCUGAUCCAGCCAUACCGCGUGAGUGAAGAAGGCCUUCGGGUUGUAAAGCCCUUUUGUUAGGAAAGAAAUCUUUCAGGCUAAUACCCUGGGAGGAUGACGGUACCCAAAGAAUAAGCACCGGCUAACUUCGUG
rnacentral:rRNA from 1 species